GAUUCCAGCCAUACCAGCCUGAAUACGCCUGAUCUCGGAAGUUAAGCAGGAUUGGGCCUGGUGAGUACUUGGAUGGGAGGACUGCCUGGGAAUACCAGGUGCUGCAAACU
rnacentral:rRNA from 1 species